CCCUUAGAUGUUCUGGGCCGCACGCGCGCUACACUGAUGAAUUCAACGAGUUUAUAACCUUGGUUGAGAAGCCUGGGUAAUCUUUUGAACGUUCAUCGUGAUGGGGAUAGAUUAUUGCAAUUAUUAAUCUUCAACGAGGAAUUCCUAGUAAACGCAAGUCAUCAGCUUGCAUUGAUUACGUCCCUGCCCUUUGUACACACCGCCCGUCGCUCCUACCGAUUGAGUGGUCCGGUGAGGCUUUGGGAUCUGAGCGGAAAGAGCGUUUCGCUGUUUCUGCUCGGAAAACUCAGUCGAACCUUAUCAUUUAGAGGAAGGAGAAGUCGUAACA
rnacentral:rRNA from 1 species